rnacentral:rRNA from 1 species
ACGGGGCCCGCACAAGCGGAGGAACAUGUGGUUUAAUUCGAUGAUACGCGAGGAACCUUACCUGGGCUUAAAUGUAGAGUGCAUUUUUUAGAGAUAGAAAUUCCCUUCGGGGCUUUCUGCAAGGUGCUGCAUGGUUGUCGUCAGCUCGUGCCGUGAGGUGUCGGGUUAAGUCCCAUAACGAGCGCAACCCUUAUCGUUAGUUGCCAUCUGGUAAUGCAGGGGACUCUAGCGAAACUGCCACCGUAAGGUGAGAGGAAGGUGGGGAUGACGUCAAAUCAGCACGGCCCUUAUGUCCAGGGCUACACACGUGUUACAAUGGUCGGUACAGAGGGCAGCUACCUGGUGACAGGAUGCUAAUCUCGAAAACCGGUCUCAGUUCGGAUCGAAGUCUGCAACUCGACUUCGUGAAGCUGGAUUCGCUAGUAAUCGCGCAUCAGCUAUGGCGCGGUGAAUACGUUCCCGGGCCUU